rnacentral:lncRNA from 1 species
UUUUUUCAAGAUGAUGCCCUUUUUCAUAGUUAUGUUUAAAUUCAGAAACACAUGAAUUUUACAAGCAUUCUGAGUUGCAUGUGGCCCUUUUCCUGAGCUAUGUAAAGAACUACAACAUCAACAAGAGCUGGCAGAACUAAGAUGAUUGUUCCCGUCGCUCCUUCAUUUGUGUGUGCUAACCGUGCUGACAAGAGGAAGGAGGUGUAUAUAGUUUUCUUGCAUUAUUUCUAGAUGGUUGCUUAAUUCAUUCUGAUUAUUCACAACUAGCAAGCAGCCAAGCACUUUUGUUCCAAAAAGGGUUAGGUAGUGACAGUGUUGUUAUUACCCAGUUCUACACAAAAUUAGAGGAGAAACAUAAAGCUUUGGAAGCAGAGAAGGACGAGGCUGAGGCCAGGAAAAAGGUAGGAAGAACUUACUUCUGAAUUCUGAUAUCUCUCUUGG